GGUCAAGCUACAAAGGGCAGA
rnacentral:rRNA from 1 species